AAUAUGUGUGUGGUUUUGAACCACUAAGAUUUAUAGUAGUCUGUUAUGCACCAAGUCUUAAGUAAUAUACCUGACAGUAAUUGCAAUGUGGUAUUCUAGAUUAGGUCUUGGAACAGAUAAAUGUAUCAUUAUUAGAAAUUCUGGUAAAAUAUGAAGGAAGUCUGUAGAUCAGUUAAUAGUUUUGAAACAUAGUGAAAUUCUUAGUUUUCAUGAAUAUACUAUAGUUGUAAUAGUAACAUUUUACUUAGCUGAAGGGUAUAUGAAACUGUAUGUUCUACCUGUGUAUCUUUUUGUAAAUCUGCAAUUAUUUCAAAAUAAAUUUGCUUUCUAAAAUUAUUAUAUCUUUAAAAAGAAAACAAAGACAUAAGCAAAAAUCUGUGUCUUCCAGAGAUGAGUGGGUACAUAGGAAGAGAAUAGAAAAUGAGCAUUUUUUAUCUAGUCGCCUUUCCAAACCCAGGUGCACCUGCUUCGGGAAGGCACCAUCAAGCUCUACGGACUGUCAUCCUUUUUCUCCUUCUCUGUUACCCAGUCACCAGUUGGAAUGUCAGCAACCACUUAUUCAGAAAAAGCUGCGUUUCCUUCACAUAUCCAGAAAGCCCCAUGUGCAGACAUCAUUGAGCAGUGUAUAUUCAGGAUCCCAUUGAAGCAUUUUUGGGAGAUAUGACUCAGAUAUUAGAAGCUAAGAAUUAGAAAUUUCAGUGACAGGGAACAUAAAUCAUAUUUCUGCGUUCAGGAUAGUGUUUUCUUGGUACAGGGAUUUCUUCUUCAAGUAAUCAAAAGACAACUGUACCUUCAAACCUUUCAGAAAAAUAUGUCCUAAUUUAGUUCUUUUCAUUCUACAGACUCCAUCAGGAAUUGUUUGGGACCAUGCAUUCUGUUGCCCACUGCCAACCCGAAAGCCACCAAGGUAGCAGUACUCCUGUGAACCAUGUCUGAGUGGAGUAAUGAUGGCACCACAGUCCAGCCUGCAUGGGUGUUGGCUUGAGUGCUCCCGCCUCAUGAAAUUCAGCCACCUCUUUCUCCAGUCAGUUCCAUAUUCUGAACUCCGACUGUCUUCCAGAGUCCGUGUCACACCACAGCCUGGAAACUCUCCCCAAGUAGUAACCUGAAGCAACAUUACUCCAUCAUUACUGUACCUCCGCCUAUAUGGAUGUAAUUGUCAGUGUGAAGCUGAGUAAGGAACAACGUGCACCAGACUCACAGAGAAAAAUGGACAAGCGAGCUGGCCUUUGUAUCACUAAAGGGAAGGUCAGAUUGGUUUGGAAUAAUUCAUCAAUGUAAUCUUCUCAACCUGGUCAGUCACAUGAACUUCGAAGAUGAUUCCUCCCCAGCUGAUCCUUCAGGUGAGACCUCAGCCUUGGCAAUCAUCUACAUCUAGAUUCCUGAUUCAGAGAAACUGUGAGUAAUUUAUGUGUGCUUUUGAGCCACUAAGCUAUGUGGUAAUUGGCUAUGCUGCAAUAAACAAUAAUAUACUUGAUGGUAAACAUAGUAUGUUAUCCUUGAUUAGAUCCAAAAAAAAGGAAAAAUGGCAUUAGUGGAAAACCUGGUAAAAUAUGAAGACAGUCAGUACUUUAGUUAAUAGUUUUGCGCCUUUGUCAGUCUGUGAAUUCUCACAGAUAGUCUAUGGUUAUGUGUAUGAUAUUAAUGUUGCAGGAAAUUGAAGGGUAUAUCCACUUUUUGUAGGAUUUUAACAACUCUCUAUAGAUCUAAAAUUACUUCUAAAUAAAUAGAAGUGUAGACAUGGCUCAUAUAUUUGAGAUCAGGUCUCCCUGUUAAUUAAGCCUUCAGGGAACCUACAACUCAUAGUACAAAUGCAAUAACAUUAUAAAAUAUAAAUGAGAUGAGUUUCUAUUUUACUCACUCUAUUCCUCAGGGAACACUAAAGCCCAUUCUUCUUCUCAAGUAUCCAAAACUAAAGUUGAUCCAAGUAACAAGUGGACAGCAUAAAAGAUUGUAUGGAAACUAUAAUGCAUCUACAUCUUUAGUUACUAAUCAUAAAAUGAUUUGUAUGAUCAUUCUUCAGAUGAUUAGAAUGACUAUGGGAAAGAAGAAAAAGAAAUGCAACUUUCUUGAUUUAAAAAUUGUAUCUGUGCAAGAGUGGUGGCACACCCCCAUACUCAGUCCCAGCUACUAGGGAGGUUUGGUAGGAUGAUCAUGUGAUACCAGGAGUCUGAGGCUGUGCAGUGUGCUAUGAUUGUGCCGGUGAAUAACCAUGCUCUCCAGCCUGGGCAACAUAGUGAAACCCCAUUAAAUAAAUAGAUUAAAUAAAUACAUAAAUAAG